CCUUGUACACACCGCCCGUCACGCCAUGGGGGUUGGUUUCACCCGAAGGUGGUGCGCUAACCCGCAAGGGAGGCAGCCAACCACGGUGGGAUCAGCGACUGGGGUG
rnacentral:rRNA from 1 species